rnacentral:lncRNA from 1 species
UUUUGUAAAUUAAUAUCUCUAUAAAUUAAUAAAAUUUUAAAGUCUCAAUAUUAUUAAUUUAUAGAGGUUCUACUGUAUAUAUGUAUCAUUUGAUCACUAGCUAGCUAGUAUGCUUGUUUAGUUUGCUCUUGAGGUGGUUUGUUAUUAUUUUAACUUUGUCUUGUUGGCUCUUGAGCUUGUAAUAAAUCCUUGACUUAAUGAAACUCCAAAAUAAAUGUGUUGAUCCUGGAAUUAAUUAAUAGACGGAUGUAGACGUAGAAACUGAUAUGGCGAUGAGGCUCUGUAGAGCUCCCAUCGAUUCUCAGUGUGAGCGCGAGGCAAGGUGUCGGACUUCUGUUUGAGUCUCGCUGUUCGGCAUCCUUGAAGGAGACUCGUGUGCUGAUCAGCCAUCCCAGCUCCAUUGUCGGGUCUCUUGGGCUCCAGUGGAGGGCUGUUCUAUCUCUAAAUUGCAGGUUUGAGCAAGCAUCUCAGAAUGUAGGGCUGUUCUAUCUCUAUAUUGCAGGUUUGGGCGAGCGGCUCAGGAUGUGGCUCUCAUCACUUCCCGUCUUCUUGCAGCUCGCACUUUGUUCUGAAGCCGAGUGUAAUAAGUGUGACAUUGGUAGUCUUGUGGCGUCAAGCCGGAUGGCGCUCUAGUCUGCUUGAUGCAAGUGGAGGUAUUUAGCUCAGGUUUCAGUCUCCUCUACUGGUGGUGGUUGGCGGAUAUGGUUUCCUCGGUUGGUCAUUGCAAAGCUGCAUGUGAUCGGAGUCAAUCAAUUGGAGUAGCGCUUUGGGCAAGCCGAUAUCUACCAAGCGUGAUCUUAGGUAAUAUCAAAGACUCCGAAUCCAUUUGGCAAUGCUUCAGUCUCAGCCAAGCUUUCCUUCUGCUAGUGUCUUCUGCGCUUGUGUUAAUUGUUUAAGUCCCUUGUCUCACCAUUGUUGCUUGUUCUUUCUCCUUGGUGUUUAGAUUUUUGUUUUUUAUCUGCUACUAGUGCUCUAUGUAACUGCUGUCAAAAUUUUAAAACUUUGGUAUAAAAUUUAACAUUUAGACCAAAAAAAAACUGAUAUGGCGAUGUUUCAUUUUCAGAUGUUUCCGGAACAUUUGACUAAUAAAACACUUCAUUUUCUCAAACAUACAUCCGCAUGCAUGAUGCUUCCUACCUCUUCAAGGCAAUGUAUAGAAAGGCCAUGUAGGUGGAGUGUUUAGGUUGAAAGUUUCUUCUCUUACCACUCCACCUGAAAAAGGUAAUCUUGUAAUACCAAAAUCUUACACUAUUUUGUUAACUAAAUCACAUCACUGUGACUUACAUCAUUUUAAAUUUCUCCAUUAUUAUAUAGUUAUAUUGAGAGAUUACAUUUUAACAUCACUCAUUUCAAUCAUCAGUUGAAUCCUCUACUAUUUUAUUUUCUGUUUAACAAUCAGUAAUAAUAAUAAACAAACAAAGACUCUCAAUCAGACUCGAUUCACAGAGAAUAUCAUGUUUCGAAAUUAGACUUUCCAUAAUAGUAGUACUAAACUAGCACGGAUUGGACGGAUAGCCCUCAACUUAGCCACAAUCGGAGAUGGAUCGGAAAAUGUUCAGAAUUGGACUUGCUUCACCUAACAAGACUCGACCAAGUUUAGCAUGAAUUACUCAUUGAAUAAGUCUCACCUAAAUCAUACGAUUUCACCAUGCACAAUAUACGAUUAGGUUUUAUGCUACAAAUGUUGCUUGCUAUACAAGAAAUGGAGAAGGGAUCACUUAGCUAUCACGGCUUGGGGUAACGUUAAUGGAUCUUGCACUUUGACGACGUGCGUGUAAAAGCCGGAUAACCGGACUGAAAUAAAUGAUAUAAUAAAAGCGAUAUGUUAAGGAAAUAAACGAUUGUGAAGAGCGAAUACAAGAACGAUAAGAAAUCGUAUUCGCUAAUGAACAUGGAGUCGAGAUAUAAUCUCUUUCCUUAACUCUAAAUAUUCGCUCCGUUAGUGAGACAGAACUGUACGAAUACCGAGUCCCAGGAUACAAUCAUGGCAGACAAAUCACGCUUCACCCGUGAUCGCCCUAUCGAACUAUAAACUCUACAAACACUCUCGUAUUUAAGACUUACGCUAAGGGAAUUUUUGCUGUUGGUUUCGAUGUGAAAAAGUUAAGAAAUGAAUGAAGAGGAGUCGAGUAUUUAAAGAAGAGAACUGGAUUUGAUUUUCGAAACUGUUGCACACGUUUAGCGAAAAUAUCUCUGAAAUCUCGGGAGUGGAGAGUUGAGAAACUUUCUCCGCAAGAUCUCUCUUCUGUUGACUCGUUCUGAUCCAUUUCGAACAGACAAACUUCGUGUCGUUUUUAGACAAACUACGUGUUGUUUAUUCACGAACGUCAUUCUGUUUUUUAGAAAUGAAAUGGCAAAAAUGUAGUGCUUAACUUGGUCCAAAAAAAAUAUUCUUAUUGGGCUAGAGGCCCAAGACCCAAGCCCAAUCUCACGCCCAAGCCCACGCCGAGCCGGCCGGAUGGCGCGUGGACAGACUUACUCUCUCCUUGAGCCGCUUAACAACUCAUAACACAUGAGCAUAUAUAUAUUGCUCAUCUACUCUCUACUUCCCCGAUGUGGGAUUUUCUUAAGUUUCAUUCAUUUAACCCAGCCAGGCUUUUUCCAUGUGACCAGUAGACCCAUUUGUAUUCACCUUAUGCCUUUUAUUAAUUCAGCCAUUAGGCUAUAAUAUUAGGCCCAACAGUGGGCUCCAUCUACGGUGACUAAAGACUCACGACAGUGCAGAUCUACGACCGGUGGUGGUGAGGAACAUGGCGGCUCUACCUGGAACGCUUCUCUCCCUCUCGGCUUAGGCUCUCCAUCUCACGGAUCCGAUACGUAACAACAACGGACGUGACGGCAGGUAACGAGUCUGUGAUACCAUGGGCUGCUCCUCCGAUGAUGAACCAUGGCUCCGGUGGUGGCUAGCGAUGGUGGAUGCAUCACGUCUUCUCGGUCAUCAAACACACGAACACAAGAAUAAAAUGGAGGAGAAGAAGAGAGUGACACAAGUGAUGAGCAAGAGAGAUGGGAGUGAACGUGAACAAGAGUGGAGAAGAUGGAGAUGGUGAUCGUGAAUAACAAUGGGAGAAGAUCUGCUUACACUUUUUCUUUAGGUUUUUUUUCUUUGACUGAAACUUUUUCUUUAGGUUACGAGGAAGAGAUUAUAUAUAUCGAAAUAGACAUAUUACGGCUGCGUUUAAUAAAGAAGAAGGAAGUGGUUAUUAAUUUAAUUUGACCAAACCGGUUUAGAUUAAGAUUAUAAUUAGAAGAAAAACAAAAUCAAACCGAUUUGAAAAAUCCGGGUCGUUACACAUACGUUUCUUGGAAAAUGAUCAUCAACUUGUUUUACGAGAAUCUAUUUGUAAUCUCUCAGCAUUAGAGUUGUUUGUUAAUUUUUCAUCUACUCGUUUAAUCUUUCGGUUACAAUAUUCAGAUUCAUUACGAAGCAUGCUAUCGUUACUUCUUGUAUGAUCUUUUAAAGUACUACCAACCGACAAUCCAUUUAUUUUCUUGUAAGCCACGUGAAUGUUCAAAACAAAACUAAAGCCAAGAACGCUCUUACAUUAAUCUCCACUGGACUAUACUAUGUAUUUGUGAACAAUGAACGUUCAUCGAUAGACUUCAAUGUAAGAGAUCUCUUUUUCCGUUAAUUACGUUUCACUCUCUUUCAAAACUGUACAAAAAAAUAAGGAGAACAAAUUUACUUAACACUCACAGGGAAAAAUAUUUAUCCCUUCUCUCUGUAUCACAACCAAGGGGAUGUUUUGUGAUGAAAUAUGAACACUUAGGAGUGUGUCGAGACUUUUAACGGUUAAAAAUUCAUAUAAAUGAAGUUUAAUGUUUUGUCAAAUUAUUAACAUAUAGAUUCCCACUAUUUUGUUUACAAAAUAAAUUAAACAAAAUUUCAUAUUUUUUAUUUAUUCAAUUCCUCCAUUUAUUUUUUUCGUUUAUCAAAUAGUAACUCUUCUCUGGCUUUAUGUUGAAUGAUAUAUAGGGUCAACGUUCAUAUAUCAACUACAUGAAAAAAUGCAUUAUUGUGACUAAAUGUCAUGAGAAUUGGAAAAAUCGAUUGAACUUUCUUACCUUUCAGGUACAGAGUAGUUCGUAUGAGUUAUAGAAUUCGGAAGGUACAUAUCACAAAACAAUCAAAGGUUACCCUUCAAGACUGAUGAGAGACUACAUCAUCAUCUCUCUGUAUUAGCCUGUGACACCAAC